rnacentral:lncRNA from 1 species
CAGGAACAGACAGAUGAGCCUUGGCUUUCACAGCAUGCAUAUGAUUUAUCAGGCAUUGCAUUCUUUCCCCGAGGGAAGGGAAGUUCUCUGUGGAGCCACUUGGAAGGUGAGAUCAAUGCCCAAAUGCAAGGAGAUGCCACUGGCAGAGCCCAUGGGAGAUCAAACUGGAGAACGAACCAGCCAAAGGAGGUUACAGCAGAAGCUAAAGUUGGAGUUCUUCAAAGAUGGAGCACAAGCCCUAUGAACAGAAAGUGGGCAUGUUCAACUUGGGGAAGGGAUUGCUUUGGAGGUACCUAACAGCUGCUCCCAGUACCUACAAGGAGGAUGUAAAGAAGAUGGAGUCAGUUGCGUGGUGGAAAGGUGAGAGACAAUGAGCAUAAAUUGAAAUGAGUUGUUCAGAUUGAAUCUAAGCAUAAGUUGUAUUCCCAUGAGGACAAACAGACACUGGCACAAGCCAACCGGAGAGGUUUUUCAGUCUUGAUCCCUGGAAUUCUCUGGAUCAAGUCUUGACAAAUCUCAUCUGACCUCAGAGUUAGCCCUGCUUUUUGAGCAGAAAGUUGGACUGGAGACACUCCUGAUGUCCCUUCCAAGCUGAAUUAUCCUGUGAUCGUUGCAUUACUAUCUCUAGAUCUGUUCAGAAGAAGAUCAUACUGUUAUGAAAUUCCAAAACUUGGUUCCCUGCUUUUGUGUUACUUGUCUUUGUGGCUGAAAGAGGAGUCUUAACCAUUGUAAUCUGUGCAGUAAUGUCAUGUGAAAUUUAUGGAGGGAAUCCAAUGGAAGGAAGACUUGCACUUGUUAAAUCCAAGGGAGUUUAUUAUUGUUACUGCCUUUACUCCCAGGCAGGCUAGAACUAAAUGGGUAUUCUCCCUCUCUGUCAUUUUGAUUUCAUAUGUGAGAGUGUGCUGAGGGGAGGAGGGCCAUAACUCUCACUCUCAAAUUGACCUGUUGCUAAUGCAAGGUGUGAUUUUUUUUUCACUUGAAGAUGAAAUUCCAUAGAAUCAGAAGAAAGCUGCCAAAAAUGCAUUGGAUUCAUGCAUGAUAUGAAUGAUUAAAGAUAAUCCAAAAUUUGAACUCUCUGCUUUUCUUACUUCUGCCAUUAGUAGGUGGUCCAUUUUGGAAAUGGUGACACAAGGGUGGGUCACCUCCACUGGCGCCGAUUGUUAUGAGCACGGCAUGCAGACUCUAAUUCAUCGUUGAUGGGAAUGCAUAGUUAAUAGUGGUGACUAUGUUGAAAAACAGUGUUU